rnacentral:rRNA from 1 species
GACAGAGGGUGCAAACGUUGUUCGGAAUUACUGGGCGUAAAGCGUGUGUAGGCGGUCUCAUAAGUCGGAUGUGAAAGCCCCGGGCUCAACCCGGGAAGUGCAUUCGAAACUGCGAGGCUAGAGUAUCGGAGAGGUUGGUGGAAUUCUCAGUGUAGAGGUGAAAUUCGUAGAUAUCGAGAGGAACACCGGUGGCGAAGGCGGCCAACUGGACGAAUACUGACGCUGAGACACGAAAGCGUGGGGAGCAAACAGG